AAUGAACGUUGGCGGCGUGGAUUAGGCAUGCGAGUCGUGCGGGUGUAGCAAUACACCAGCGGCGAAAGGGACAGUAAUAUGUAGGUCAUCUGCCCUCGAGACGGGGAUAGCCGCGGGAAACUGCGGGUAAUACCCGAUAACGUCUUCGGACCAAAGGUGUGAGUCCGCUCGGGGAUGAGCCUACAUCCUAUUAGCUAGUUGGCGGGGUAACGGCCCACCAAGGCAUCGAUGGGUAGCGGGUGUGAGAGCACGACCCGCGUCAUUGGGACUGAGACACUGCCCAGACACCUACGGGAGGCAG
rnacentral:rRNA from 1 species